rnacentral:rRNA from 1 species
AGAACGAACGCUGGCGGCAGGCUUAACACAUGCAAGUCGAGCGCCCCGCAAGGGGAGCGGCAGACGGGUGAGUAACGCGUGGGAACAUACCCUUCGGUUCGGAAUAACUCAGGGAAACUUGAGCUAAUACCGGAUACGGUCGAGAGGCGAAAGAUUUAUCGCCGGAGGAUUGGCCCGCGUCCGAUUAGCUAGUUGGUGUGGUAAUGGCGCACCAAGGCGACGAUCGGUAGCUGGUUUGAGAGGAUGAUCAGCCACAUUGGGACUGAGACACGGCCCAAACUCCUACGGGAGGCAGCAGUGGGGAAUAUUGGACAAUGGGCGAAAGCCUGAUCCAGCCAUGCCGCGUGAGUGAUGACGGCCUUAGGGUUGUAAAGCUCUUUCGCCCACGACGAUAAUGACGGUAGUGGGAGAAGAAGCCCCGGCUAACUUCGCGCCAGCAGCCGC